UUGUCGCAAAAGCCAUUUUUGGCCAUACCGCACCUACAACUUGUAUUUUGAAAAAGAAAAGAGUAGCUCUGGAAUAUUUUAAAAUCUUAAAAAAUUAAGGAAGAAGGCAGGUGGCAAAAUUGCUAUAGAACAGUUUUUGAGGACGGUAUGUAAAAAUUAAAUCCUUUUCAAUAUUUAAAUGAAAUGAAAUUUACAAGUUAUAAUCAUUGCCACUUUUUUCAGAUGGUGUUAGAACUGUACCGGAAUUUGAUAAAGUGUUUGCUGAUCCUACAAAAAACAUGCGUUUUUACCGAAUGAUGAGAUAGCAGGUAUUCAUUUGGAAUCACAGAAAAAAUUUGUGUCCCAAGAUUCGACCACCAUCUCUAUUGCGGCCUUCACAACAGCCUGGGCCAGAAUGAAGCUUUAUCAAGAAAUGGACAAGCUGGGUGGAAGCGUGUUAUACCACGAUGCGGACUCUAUUGUCUAUGCCGAAGAUGGUAACAAUGAUCCCCCCCUCUCGAGAAUUUUCUAGGGGAGUUCACGGACGAGUUAGAGGAUGAUACCAUUACUAAAUUUAUAUCUAGUGGGUGUGAAUACGGAGAAACUAGACACUGCUCUUUAGUUUGGUACACGAGAAUGGUUUAAGGAAGAACAUGAGCAUUGUACAUAUUGUACUUAAAACGAUGCAGAUAAUUUUGAAGGUAAUAAUAAGAGUGCU